UUACAAUACACAAAAUGACCACUAGAUGACAUCCCAACUCCAUUUUCUAAUUUGAAAACUUAACACAUUGUAACUUAUGAAUGAUUUGGACUACUGGCCUAGCACGAUUUUUACAGAGGGGGCCAAAGUAAAUAUGCUGUUCAGGGGGCCCAUAAACCAUAGCAGUGCCUCUGAGUAGAACUUGAGUAGACUGGUAGGAUUAGGGUUAGAAUAAGUUGACAUACUUGCAAAGUUACUUAUAGUCAGUAGAAUAUCUGUUGGGAGACCAUCACAAUAAAGAGUUAGCAGAUAUUAAUCAAACAGUCUACUAAUACUCUUAUUGUCAACAGAAUGCUCAAAAGGGACUAUCAAAAUAAAGUGUUACCAAAGACACUUAGGAAUAUAGGCUACUGCUGAAGGGAAAGCAAGUAUCAAUAAGUGACAUUAAAGUCAUAUAAGCUAAAGUUUAUUGUAAAGUAAAUGUAAUGUAAACGUCACAGAUGCAGGCCUUAAGCAAAGGCACCUAAAGUCACUGAUGUCAGCGAUGUUAUCUGUUCAGUCACUAGAGGGAGCUACAGUUGUGUCAUCUGCUUUAGCUGAUCAUACUACAGACUUAUAUAGAGUUGUACAGCAGGUAUAGCAAUAUAUAUUAGCAGGUCUACAGUUAUUACCUAAAGAUAAUGACGAAUUACACUAAUGACCCUUGACGCUUUAAAUAGUAUGACGUAACACAUCCUCCUUCACAGAAAUCACGUGAUUUGGAGGGUUUGACGAGAGCUCAUGAAAACUGAUCGCUGCUGUCUUCCAGUUUGGAUGCGGCCAAAGCGCGACAUUAUUAUGAGGAACCACUCUUUCCUUUUUUGGGGUUUUAUUACUCGUGAACGAUCCAGAUGA
ensembl:lncRNA